rnacentral:rRNA from 1 species
GGGGUUCUGCGAAACCUAAAGGCGCAAUGAAAGUGAAGGCCGCCUCGGGUUGGCCUAGGUAGGAUCCCCGCUCUCUCGGGCGGGGCGCACUACCGGCCCGUCUCGAUCUCGUCGCAGAUGAGGCGGAGCAAGAGCGUACACGUUGGGACCCGAAAGAUGGUGAACUAUGCUUGAGUAGGACGAAGCCAGAGGAAACUCUGGUGGAGGUCCGUAGCGAUUCUGACGUGCAAAUCGAUCGUCAAACUUGGGUAUAGGGGCGAAAGACUAAUCGAACCAUCUAGUAGCUGGUUCCCUCCGAAGUUUCCCUCAGGAUAGCUGGCACUCGAUCGCAGUUUUAUCCGGUAAAGCGAAUGAUUAGAGGCCUUGGGGACGAAACGACCUCAACCUAUUCUCAAACUUUAAAUGGGUAAGAAGUCCGACUCGCUCGACUGGAGCCGGGCAUCGAAUGCGAGAGCCAAGUGGGCCACUUUUGGUAAGCAGAACUGG